UUCCCCAUUCCCCUCAUCCAUUCCCUUCCACCCCCUCAUAUCGUCAACCGUAGAUAAAGCCUUAUCCAACGGUCCACAUUUAAAUUUAGGAAAGAAUGUGAUCCGCGUGCUAGUCGUCUACACCAAUCAAAUUUCAUCUUAUGGAUUCAGUCUCUCUCACACUUAAUUAUUUAAAUCCCUUCAUUUCCGUCACCUUCCUCACACAACGAGAGUACCGGUGCACCUACACAUUCAGAUUCAAUCGAAAAGAUAUAGUUUCGUGCUAUCUUAUUUUCGAUUUCCCAAUUUCUUCUAAGCCUUAACGCUAACUUUGACCCAGCUUUUCCCGAAUUCGUCCUUUGUAUCCCUCGCUAAGCAAAUGGCCACCGAGGAACCAACCGUAGCGGUUGACUACGCACCUGAACCGGGGGAAGACAAGCCAGCCGAGACCAAAGCCGGUUCGAAAUCCGGCAGAACAAAAAAAGCCAAAGAACCCAAAGUCAAGAAAGCAGCAGCCCCUAAGAAACCACGAGCUCCUCCUUCUCAUCCUCCUUACGAAGAGAUGAUCAAAGAUGCAAUCGUUACCUUGAAAGAGAAGACAGGUUCAAGUCAGUACGCUAUUAGUAAAUUCAUUGAAGAGAACCAAAAGCAGCUUCCUGGAACCUUUAAGAAGCUUUUGCUUUUCCAUUUGAAGAAACUCGUGGCGGCUGAGAAAUUAGUUAAGGUUAAAAAUUCGUUUAAACUUCCAUCGGCUAAGUCUUCGAAGCCGGCUACUACUGCUUCUGCUCCGUCUAAGAAGAAGCCGGCUGCUACUAAGGCUAAGUCUAAACCUGCUUCAAAGCCUAAGGAAGGGAAGAGUACAAAAACAGCUGCUAAAGCUCCGGCGAAGACAAAAACUGCUUCUAAGACAAAGACUAAGGCGGCGAAUAAACCCAAGCCUGCUACUAAGGCAAAGUCUACUACAACAAAGACGAAGGCGGUGGCUACUGUGAAGCCGAAAACUACUUUAGCUUCUAAGUCUAAAGGUGUAGCGAAGCCUAAGCCCAAGCCCAAGCCCAAGCCCAAGCCCAAUGAAAGGCCGGCUAAGGCUUCUAGGACUUCAACGAGGACGUCUCCUGGAAAGAAGGCGGCUGUUCCGAAGCCUGUCCCGAAGAAGGCUCCAGCGACUAAAAGAGCACAGGCGAAGAGAAAGUCACCGGCGAAGAAAGCCGCGUCGAAGAGAGGAAAAAAGUGAAAAAAAGUAGAGAAGAAAAGCUAGUCAAUGUAGGGGUAGUUUUGUAAAUUGGACUGAAGUUUAGUGGGUGUAUUUGGGUCCAUGUAUACCCAUGAAAAUAUGAAAUCGGAUCUUAACCAGGUUUGGCGGUGAGUUACAUUAAAGAAAAUGGUGGCGUCUUAAAGAGCGUUGCUUAGAAAUAUUGAAGGGCUCAACCUCUCUGCAACAACACUGAUCCAAAAACAGAGAAAAUGAAGGUACAGAUGCUCUGGUGCAAGAGUAGUGUGGGAGCAUUGAAGCUUUUCAAAUGUUGGUUGCUCUGAUGAAAAGCCAUAAAAUGGUUUGUAAUUUCAGGAAUGAAUAUAAGUAGAUGUUAAAUAUUGUCAAUUAUUUGAUUUUCAUAGUUGAUCCUGCAGACUUUUGAAGUCUGCAAAUCGAGAGAGAACUAUUGAGAGUUAUGUGCUAAAGCUUGUUCUCUGGCUGGGAACAUUCUCCUCAGUUGCCACUGCUUGGCUGUUGAGGUGUCUAUUUCAAUUUUCAUAGGCAAAACUUUUAUAUUGAUCACAAGAAACUUUCCGUUUGAUGGAUGCAUUUAUUGGCAUUCUGAAGAUUUUACUAAAUUUCAACGACUAUUCUUUAGAUUUUUUCCCUCUCAAAUCUUUGCCUAAGAGGAAUUAUGAUUUCUUUUUCUUUUUUCUUUGUUAUCUAUCCUAUACUGAUGGUUUCCUGGAUAUGCUGUUGGCCAUAUUGGGUUUUGUUAUGUUUUCUUGUUGAUAUUCUGAGAUUUUACUUUUCUUAGUGCUUCCAAUCCUUCCAACUUUAUUGCUGUUGUCCGGUUUUUGUUGAUACUUACAAAAGCAUCAAUUUGGAAAUGAGCAGUUGUUUCAUUGUUUGUCAUAUCGUUAUAGCAAAUGCAUCUGAUAUUUACAGUUACGUGAUUCAGGGGAAGAAGGAGGGCAUAGAAUCUUCUUAUAAGGAUUAGGAAAAAUCCAAUUAACAACUGUUUGUGAUAUUAGCAGUCAUGGUGGCUGGCUAUUGCGUUGAUUCUUGUGGAUCAUUAAGGCUUUGCUUCUGAUAUUGCAGAUUGAUGGUUAAUGGUGAUUUCUGAUAGUGAGAAACUCAUUGGUAUUGGAUUUACAGUUACCUGGUUUUUCAAAGGUUAUCUUCACAUGAUAUGUUGUAUAGUAUUCUAGGUAGUAAAAUUGUACUCGUGAAGUUGCUUGAGGGUUCAAUGUGUUCCUGCAAAUGUUGCUUCUGAUUGGUGCUUGUUCUGCUACCGCUAAUAUUUGCAUUUUGAAUGCUCUGCAAGCGUUUCCUAUAAGAAUUCUCAAACAUUUCUAGUCUCUUCAACGUUCUUGCUUUUGACACCAUUUUUAGUUCUAUCUUUCAUUUUGCCAAAGUUUCUGGUAAGAUGAAUUUUCACAUUAGAUAUUUGUUUACCUUUCCCUUCAAUGUUAAUCUUCACUAUUGUUACAUGUUGUGAAAUCCCCUUCUGGUUAUUGUUUUUAAAUUAACAAGCUUGGGAUGGGAAUUGCUUGAAAGUAAUGUAGCAGUAAUACCCAUAGAGAAGAAUGGAGGAUCACAUGUUUGUCCUAUUUCUGUAGCUUUUUCUGAGUGCCUCUAUUUGGUGGAAAGUUAUAGAUAUGUAUUAAUUCUGUUACUAUUCAUAUACAAACAAAUGUAUCUACUUUUAAAGGAAGUUUCAUAGAGGUUUAGAUGCUUUCCUUAAAUACUCUUUAGAGUGCUGUCAGAGGGUCAACCUGAACAACUUAGUGGAUUUAACUGUUAGCAAUGAAUUGUCAAUCUAGGUCAGAGCAAUUGCCACAUGGAGUGGAUUUCUUUUUCUCUAUCUGGAGAUAGGAGCUUAACUUCUCAAUGAGAUAAAUGCGCUUCUUCUGUUGUAUUGCUGUUAUACAUUUCAUAUCAGAGAGGAAGGUUUGAUGUUCAGAACUUUUUAGGGUUCUCUAAUACCUGUUUCCAACAGUGAAGAUUAUGUCUGAAAGAAAUGGAUUUUAUACAUGUUAUGAGGAGAAAUAGUUGCUACAAUCAUUUAGCACAUGGAUUGAAGCUUAAUGAAAAAAAUGAAAAAAAUACUAUAGGUCUUGUAUGCAGAAGCUAC